AAAUAUGACAUCUGGAGCCCAUGGGACGGGGCUGCGGGCCACCGGAAGCCUAGAAGAAAGAAAACCAUCUAGUUGGAGGGUCCAAGGCUUUCAUGCCACUGUACCAGGAAACUGGGCAGAAGCUUCUAGGAAACACAGUACAAUAAAACAAAGAACCAGAAGAGGAAAGACGCCAGCUGUCUUGUUCCUAACUUUGGGACGGAGACCGAGAGCCCGGCUCAACGUCUGAGAAGGCGCAGAGUACUCGUGCUAGGAUUUUGUGUUCUGCAGUAGCGUGGGUAUUGAGUCCAUACAGUUGGCUGAGGAAUGGCUCUUGCCAUCAGUAAAACAUGUCGUCUCCUGCUCGCCUUGUCCCAUGAAUUAGCAGUGUUCAUUCCACCAACGGUGUUUUUAAAAGUGGAAACGGCCCUACAAACUGUUGUUCUGAUUUUGAUUUUGGUGAGCUGAACUCCAGGCCCCUCACAGAAGCGAUACAGCAUCUCCUCAUGAGUGGC
rnacentral:lncRNA from 1 species